ACAUACUCUCUCGUACCCGUUAGUGAAAAAGCGCUCUACCGCUAAUCAUCAUUUUUUGAAUAUAAAGCCAUAGGCCCAAUAUUCAACAUUCUGCUCGGACCCCUGGUGGGGGUCCUAAGAUUUUUUCUCAUUUCCUAUGUAUUUUUCUUUCAAUUUUAUUUUGUCUUGCAUGUUUCAAAACUAUCCAAGUUUUGAAACAUGUUUUCGUUUUCAUCAGACAUGUUUGGAAGACAAUUAUUAUGCUAAUACAACACAGCUUUUAGAGGCACGGUGCUACAUGGAUCGGAAAGCUUAACGUGUGAUUCAAGACAACUCUCUCACAUUCUGACAACUGUCCAUGGCUCAAAGUGUGAUUACAAAGGAUUCAACGGUUUUCUAAAAUCAAACUCACCAUUGGUUUUGAAAAACAAAAAUGCGGUCAUCGUUUGCUGAUCACAGUGCCCAACGAAUUCUAGCGGCCGGAAACAACAAGGCGGCAGCAGCGGCAGAGACCAGUGGAAGUGCGCCAAGAAUGGAGGCAGAAAGGGAUGGUCGACAACCGACGAACACGACAACCAAGACAACGAAGACGCUGGAAUGACAGAAGAAGAGAAAGAGAGCGUGGAUACGAGCGCCAAUCCCAACAAAGAAAUGACCCCAGGGAACAUCGUCAUCAGGACCAAGUCGUGUACAGGAACAGUGAUCAAAGAAACAGCAGGCGGGAUAGCAAUCAAUGUUGCUGUCAAAUUCUAAAAUGGAUUGCCGAGACAUUGGAAGCUCAACAAAGGACAAACGAGUUACGAAGAAGAUGCUGAGGACAAGGAACGUGGAUGGAUGCCGAUUUUUUUCUCUUUUUAAGUUUUCUCUUUAUUUUUUUCUUACUUCUUAUCAACCCUUCUCCCCCCAC
ensembl:lincRNA F19G12.10 ncRNA